rnacentral:rRNA from 1 species
GUUGACCUCGGAUCAGGUAGGAAUACCCGCUGAACUUAAGCAUAUCAAUAAGCGGAGGAAUU